rnacentral:rRNA from 1 species
CGAUGUCGGCUCAUCUCAUCCUGGGGCUGAAGCAGGUCCCAAGGGUAUGGCUGUUCGCCAUUUAAAGAGGUACGCGAGCUGGGUUUAGAACGUCGUGAGACAGUUCGGUCCCUAUCUACCGUGGGCGUUGGAAAUUUGAGAGGAUCUGCUCCUAGUACGAGAGGACCGGAGUGGACGAACCUCUGGUGUACCGGUUGUGACGCCAGUCGCAUCGCCGGGUAGCUAUGUUCGGAAGGGAUAACCGCUGAAAGCAUCUAAGCGGGAAGCCUGUUUUGAGAUGAGGUUUCUGUUGAGGUUCCCUAGAGAUGAUGGGGUUGAUAGGCCAGGGCUGUGAGCAUGGUGACGUGUUGUAAGGUGACUGGUACUAAUACACCG